rnacentral:rRNA from 1 species
GUGAUAUGAACCGUUAUAACCGGCGAUACCCGAAUGGGGAAACCCAGUGUGACUCGUCACACUAUCAUUAACUGAAUCCAUAGGUUAAUGAGGCGAACCGGGGGAACUGAAACAUCUAAGUACCCCGAGGAAAAGAAAUCAACCGAGAUUCCCCCAGUAGCGGCGAGCGAACGGGGAGGAGCCCAGAGCCUGAAUCAGCAUGUGUGUUAGUGGAAGCGUCUGGAAAGGCGCGCGAUACAGGGUGACAGCCCCGUACACAAAAGCGCAUGUGCUGUGAGCUCGAUGAGUAGGGCGGGACACGUGGUAUCCUGUCUGAAUAUGGGGGGACCAUCCUCCAAGGCUAAAUACUCCUGACUGACCGAUAGUGAACCAGUACCGUGAGGGAAAGGCGAAAAGAACCCCGGCGAGGGGAGUGAAAAAGAACCUGAAACCGUGUACGUACAAGCAGUGGGAGCACAGGUUUACCUGUGUGACUGCGUACCUUUUGUAUAAUGGGUCAGCGACUUAUAUUCUGUAGCAAGGUUAACCGUAUAGGGGAGCCGUAGGGAAACCGAGUCUUAACCGGGCGUUAAGUUGCAGGGUAUAGACCCGAAACCCGGUGAUCUAGCCAUGGGCAGGUUGAAGGUUGGGUAACACUAACUGGAGGACCGAACCGACUAAUGUUGAAAAAUUAGCGGAUGACCUGUGGCUGGGGGUGAAAGGCCAAUCAAACCGGGAGAUAGCUGGUUCUCCCCGAAAGCUAUUUAGGUAGCGCCUCGUGAAUUCAUCUCCGGGGGUAGAGCACUGUUUCGGCUAGGGGGCCAUCCCGGCUUACCAACCCGAUGCAAACUGCGAAUACCGGAGAAUGUUAUCACGGGAGACACACGGCGGGUGCUAACGUCCGUCGUGAAGAGGGAAACAACCCAGACCGCCAGCUAAGGUCCCAAAGUCAUGGUUAAGUGGGAAACGAUGUGGGAAGGCCCAGACAGCCAGGAUGUUGGCUUAGAAGCAGCCAUCAUUUAAAGAAAGCGUAAUAGCUCACUGGUCGAGUCGGCCUGCGCGGAAGAUGUAACGGGGCUAAACCAU